rnacentral:rRNA from 1 species
AAAUGAAUAGACGGGGACCCGCACAAGCAGCGGAGCAUGUGGUUUAAUUCGAAGCAACGCGAAGAACCUUACCAGGACUUGACAUCUCCUUGACAGGACCUUAACCGGUCCCUUCUUCGGACAAGGAUGACAGGUGGUGCAUGGUUGUCGUCAGCUCGUGUCGUGAGAUGUUGGGUUAAGUCCCGCAACGAGCGCAACCCUUGUCUUUAGUUACUAACAUUCAGUUGAGGACUCUAGAGAGACUGCCGGGGACAACUCGGAGGAAGGUGGGGAUGACGUCAAAUCAUCAUGCCCCUUAUGUUCUGGGCUACACACGUGCUACAAUGGCUGGUACAAAGAGAAGCAAUACCGCGAGGUGGAGCAAAACUCAAAAACCAGCCCCAGUUCGGAUUGCAGGCUGCAACUCGCCUGCAUGAAGUCGGAGUUGCUAGUAAUCGCGGAUCAGAAUGCCGCGGUGAAUGCGUUCCCGGGUCUUGUACACACCGCCCGU